rnacentral:rRNA from 1 species
UACGUAGGGUGCAAGCGUUGUCCGGAAUUAUUGGGCGUAAAGAGCUCGUAGGCGGUUUGUUGCGUCGGCUGUGAAAUCCCGAGGCUCAACCUCGGGUCUGCAGUCGAUACGAGCAAACUAGAGUGUUGCAGGGGAGACUGGAAUUCCUGGUGUAGCGGUGAAAUGCGCAGAUAUCAGGAGGAACACCGGUGGCGAAGGCGGGUCUCUGGGCAACACCUGACACUGAGGCACGAAAGCUAGGGGAGCAAACAGG